UAGAAGAAGUAGUCGACACGUCAGCAGAACACCGAGAGGGGAACUGUGGUUAGUGGCUUCCUCUGCUCUGGCGGCGAUCAAUCGAAGAAAAGCUUGCAGUUUUACUUGGAGUAGAAGUUACUCAGAAGGUUUGACCUCACCUCCCAUCUUGAUGGAUUGAAGACUAAAGGAUCUUUAUACUUUUCUGGAUUCAAAUGUACAGCUGGUGGACAGACCAUCACCGCCCAGCCGGCUGGAAUGAAUCAUCCGUAAGAAACUUGAUAGCUAAAGUUAAAGCGAGAGAUGUUGUUUCGAAGCUGGCAAAUAGCAAGACAAACAUCAAAUCUAG